AGCCCAGAGCCUGAAUCAGUGUGUGUGUUAGUGGAAGCGUCUGGAAAGGCGCGCGAUACAGGGUGACAGCCCCGUACACAAAAAUGCACAUACUGUGAGCUCGAUGAGUAGGGCGGGACACGUGGUAUCCUGUCUGAAUAUGGGGGGACCAUCCUCCAAGGCUAAAUACUCCUGACUGACCGAUAGUGAACCAGUACCGUGAGGGAAAGGCGAAAAGAACCCCGGCGAGGGGAGUGAAAAAGAACCUGAAACCGUGUACGUACAAGCAGUGGGAGCACGCUUAGGCGUGUGACUGCGUACCUUUUGUAUAAUGGGUCAGCGACUUAUAUUCUGUAGCAAGGUUAACCGAAUAGGGGAGCCGAAGGGAAACCGAGUCUUAACUGGGCGUUAAGUUGCAGGGUAUAGACCCGAAACCCGGUGAUCUAGCCAUGGGCAGGUUGAAGGUUGGGUAACACUAACUGGAGGACCGAACCGACUAAUGUUGAAAAAUUAGCGGAUGACUUGUGGCUGGGGGUGAAAGGCCAAUCAAACCGGGAGAUAGCUGGUUCUCCCCGAAAGCUAUUUAGGUAGCGCCUCGUGAAUUCAUCUCCGGGGGUAGAGCACUGUUUCGGCAAGGGGGUCAUCCCGACUUACCAACCCGAUGCAAACUGCGAAUACCGGAGAAUGUUAUCACGGGAGACACACGGCGGGUGCUAACGUCCGUCGUGAAGAGGGAAACAACCCAGACCGCCAGCUAAGGUCCCAAAGUCAUGGUUAAGUGGGAAACGAUGUGGGAAGGCCCAGACAGCCAGGAUGUUGGCUUAGAAGCAGCCAUCAUUUAAAGAAAGCGUAAUAGCUCACUGGUCGAGUCGGCCUGCGCGGAAGAUGUAACGGGGCUAAACCAUGCACCGAAGCUGCGGCAGCGACGCU
rnacentral:rRNA from 1 species